GGAGAAGACGACGACGAAAAGGGCACGGCUGGAGUCGCAAGCCCAAGAAGACCAGCAGGCAGGCCCAGCAACUGCCACCAGCAGCACCGUCUCAGAAAGCUUCAUGCACAGGUUGGCUCAGGAUUGUGACUCAAUAGGCACAAAGGAUGAUGAUGGACUCAGGGAGGCAGACUGAGGAACAAAACAAAAACAAAAACAAACAA